GAGGCAGCAGUGGGGAAUUUUGGACAAUGGGGGCAACCCUGAUCCAGCAAUGCCGCGUGUGUGAAGAAGGCCUUCGGGUUGUAAAGCACUUUUGUCCGGAAAGAAAUCGCGCUGGUUAAUACCUGGCGUGGAUGACGGUACCGGAAGAAUAGGCACCGGCUAACUACGUGCCAGCAGCCGCGGUAAUACGUAGGGUGCGAGCGUUAAUCGGAAUUACUGGGCGUAAAGCGUGCGCAGGCGGUUUUGUAAGACAGGCGUGAAAUCCCCGGGCUUAACCUGGGAAUUGCGCUUGUGACUGCAAGGCUAGAGUGCGUCAGAGGGGGGUAGAAUUCCACGUGUAGCAGUGAAAUGCGUAGAGAUGUGGAGGAAUACCGAUGGCGAAGGCAGCCCCCUGGGACGUGACUGACGCUCAUGCACGAAAGCGUGGGGAGCAAACAGGAUUAGAUACCCUGGUAGUCCACGCCCUAAACGAUGUCAACUAGUUGUUGGGGAUUCAUUUUCUCAGUAACGUAGCUAACGCGUGAAGUUGACCGCCUGGGGA
rnacentral:rRNA from 1 species